rnacentral:rRNA from 1 species
GUAGGUGGCAAGCGUUGUCCGGAAUUAUUGGGCGUAAAGCGCGCGCAGGCGGUUCUUUAAGUCUGAUGCGAAAGCCCACGGCUCAACCGUGGAGGGUCAUUGGAAACUGGAGAACUUGAGUACAGAAGAGGAAAGCGGAAUUCCACGUGUAGCGGUGAAAUGCGUAGAGAUGUGGAGGAACACCAGUGGCGAAGGCGGCUUUCUGGUCUGUAACUGACGCUGAGGCGCGAAAGCGUGGGGAGCAAACAGGAUUAGAUACCCUGGUAGUCCACGCCGUAAACGAUGAGUGCUAAGUGUUAGGGGGUUUCCGCCCCCUUAGUGCUGCAGCUAACGCAUUAAGCACUCCGCCUGGGAGUACGGCCGCAAGGCUG